UAGGGGAACGAUAUACACCAGACUGUUACUUUCUAAGCUACAUUUUUUGUGACCUUUCAGUAAAUAGAAUUCGUCUAGUUUCAACCAUUUAGUUUUGCUUUAGCAGGCCAGCUGCUGCUUCUGUUUUUGCUGCUGCCCACGACAGGCCCAGUGACAGCAAGCUUAACGAACAACAGAACGAAAACCCUGAAAAAUAGCAGCAGCUCAGGUUAGGAAUUACCAGUCGUUUGUACCUAGCAUAAGGAAGCAACACCUUUUUUAAGUAAAAAAAGGGCAAACAUGCAAACAGCACAGAGAUUGCUAAGGACUAUUUGUGCAGCACAUAUAAUUAUGCAUUGAGGUAGGAAAAUCAUUCUUAUUUUUCUUUAUUAAAAUUUUGUUCAAGAACUUUUCUCCCCACUCUUUUCCCACUGCUCAGUGUUCCCACUUAGGCCUUAAUUAGCACCAGUGUUUUUUAGGAUAUUAUCCUAAAAAACGUUGAGGCCUUGUUUGGCAUUAGUGCAUUUUUUUUAAUCACUAGUGUGUUGGUAUUUGAGUGUUGGGUGUUCGCCCAGUACUCUAAAAAAACCUUCCAUCUCAAAAUACUAGUAAAAAAACACCAGUACGAAAAGUGUUUUAAAUUAAUAAAAAAUGAGGUGUUAGUGGGAUAAAACUAGGGAUAAUCCUCUCUAAUCCCUCCAUAGCAAACAAACAUUUCGUUUUUUUUAGUGUUUUUUAAUGUGGACCUAAAAACACUAAUGCCAAAUAAGGCCUCAACGGUUAUAGAAGUAUAUAAUUUCCAUGCACAUGCCAUGGACACUCUCAAAAUCUUUUUCCAACAUUCUUACUAUUUAUUAGAAUACAAUUAUUGGAAGUAAAAGAUAAUAUUGUUCAAACAUGUUUCUCAGCUUUUCUCAUACACGUUUUCCCGAUUACCGCCAUUCUUCCAUUUAGUUUCAUCAUCUCCUUCUCUCUUUUCAUCGUUCCCACUGUCUCCCACUCUGAUUGUGUUCUUUCUACGAUUCAUGUGCAUGGAGGGGUUUAUGUGUGGGAGUGAGUUUUGGAUCAUGGGUGCCAAGUAGCUCAGAACCUAGGCUGAUUGUAUGAAAGAGAAUGGUGAAAUUACCAUAUUCAGUAGUGUAGUGUAUUUAUCUGAUCUUUUAGCCAUUUCAGAAGUUCCAACUUCGACACAACGUCACACCCAUGGACCAUUCAUUUGAGGGCAUUCACGCGAUUUUCUUUUGUCAUUGUUUAAUACUCCCUCCGUCCCAUAUUAAGUGAUUCAAAUUUGUCUAAAAAUUGGCGUAUCUAUAUACUAAAAUGUGUCUAGAUACAUGUAAUAUUUCGGCACUUAAUAUGGGAUGGAUGGAGCACAUGUUCACCACUACUCUUGCUCCAACCAUAUUCUUUCAGGAUUAACAUAAAAUAUUUGUUGAAUAUUAGCACUAGUUCUAGUAGAUCGCUAGACUAGCAUGAAUCUUCGCCGCAAAUCGUUGAAGCUUCAUAACACAAAUGCAUUAAAUAAACCAAUUACUAUUCACAUGAAACUUUACCCAUGUUUUUUUGCAACCAAGUUGUUCCAUAGAUUUAAAUGCCUCCACGACGUCGAGACAACUGACACUCCAAUAUUGCUCAUGACUAAUAAGCCAUUGAACUUCCAUUUUAUGUUGGACAGUGCAUUACUCAAUACUCACUUCUUUCACAAAGGUUGGCGUAUUUGGUUUCGUUUAUACAAAAUUUUGACCAAGAUACUCUAUUAGUAUGUGUUUUUUACGAUAUGAAAUUUAUAUUAAUAGCUUCGUCUUCGAUAGUUUUUGCAGAUAGUUGUGUUUCUUAUCAUACAAGUUACAUACUGAUAGAGUACUUAUUGGUCAAAACCUUGUCUUAAUGAACCAAAUGCACCAACCUUUAUGAAAAGGAGGUAGUAUAUACUACAUAUAAUACCUAUUAUCUAAAUGUGCAUGAGUUGAUAUAGAAGAAUUAAUAUUAUUUCACAUAAGUUGCUUAAAUGCACUUUUGCCCUUAAAUUUCCAAAUUUGUGCUGAAUAACAAUUAACUCAAAAUAUGCAUUAGUCUAGUUAGCUAUAGACAAAAGACCAUGACAUAUGUCUAUCAUAUCGAAUGGAUGCAACUACAUACGUAGUUCAACAAAUAUACAGAAUAGUUCAAUGGAGUGAACAGAUAACCACUCAAUUUUUUGUAUUCCCCUCCGAUGAUCCGGUCCAUAAUAAGUGUUUUGGAUCAACUUUGUACUAAAUUCAAGACACUUAUUAUGGAUCAUGGAUCGGAGGGAGUAUGAAAUAAAGAUAUAGAUUGUUAGAGAUACUUACACUCUAAUAUAGCAUGAUAUGUCCUCUAACAUUCCUUCUGACAUUGAUGCAUUCAGGUCGAUGAAAGCAGAUGUUGGGGUGAUGGCCCUGUAUGAUGACAAGGAAGAUUAAAUUGUCAAGUUAUGUGAAAUGCACGAUAAAACGGAAUUUGCGAUAGCAUAAGCCGGAGAAAGCACCUAAGUAUGUAUAGGAAACAAUUAUUCACUUAACAUGAAAAAAAAUCAAACCCACAUGGAAAAAAAGACCAUUCAAUAAGAUCCACAAGAAAAGAAAAAACAACAUUUGCUUAAGUGCUUUCUCAAAAAAUGCAACAAGGAGUCCCAAGCGGUGGGCGAACGUUGCCCGCUAUAUUUGGUUCGUGUACCGUCCCACCGUCUGGAGCGCACGCCGCAGCACGGCACAGCACUCGGAGUAGCCACUGUCACACGCCGAGACAGUCGCGCAGGAGACGCGCACACACCAACCAAACACUGGUCAGCACGCAGCCCA
rnacentral:lncRNA from 1 species